AGCUCGAAAGAAAGAGAGAGAUUGGUUUCUAGGGUUUACAGGGUUUUGAUUUUCCUAUCGAUCCGACAAUUGUCAGGUUACUUUCUAUUUGCUUGCUUUUGGAUUUUGAUUUUCUCAUUUCUCUUUAUCUGUUUGGUUGCGGAGUAAGUGUAGAAAAAGGAAAUUUUAUUUUGCUGGAAUUUUUUUCUUCCCUUUAAUGCAACUAGCUUGAUAAGUGUAAAGUUUUAGAGCAGAUUACGAACAUUGAGAGAUUAUCUGCUUUCUUUUUCGCUCAUCCAACUUUAGGUUAAGAUUUCAAUGGGGGUGCUUAUCAAAAGCGCAAAUGGAAUCUUAAAUCGUACGAGUUUCACGCGAUUCGUGUACUUAGUUUACUGGUUGCUUAUGUCUACUGGUUUUCUGAAUUUGGUUCUCCUCAAUUAGUUUCUUGCAUGUGGGUUGUGGGUUUAAUGCCCAAAUCCUAAUGGAAUGCCUACAUUUCCUUUGAAUGCUAUCUAUUUCAGGUAGUUCAUAAAAUCUUAUGAUUUUACUUUGGUGUUACAUUUAGAAACUAAGGGCCUGAUUCUGGGAUGAGAAAUGAGAAAAUAGAGGAGAAACAAAGGAUUAUGUCUGCGCUGCUCGAUUAAUUAGUUUAUAAUAGGGAGUUAAAUAGUGAUAUUCCAAAACAUAUUAUAUUGCCUCCAUGUCUAACUAAAAUUUAGUUAUCUCCUAAACCAAUAUAGACCCAUGUAAUUUUUUGCUUAACCUCAAAUCCUUCAUGCUCUAGAUCAUCAAAAACUGUUACUUUUCAAUCGUUUUCUGAUCGGUCUGCUGUUUUAUAAGAUUCAUAUGUUUUGCAUCCUCCCGCCUGUAUUCUUGGGGUUGGAGUGCGCCAUCUAAAUUUUAAGUGGACGCUCUGCUCAUUUGAAGGAGCAUAUUGGUAUUUGGGGGAAGUUAAAGAGUUGAAAAAACUAUGGUUUGUAUUAAUAAGGGGUAACAAGUGCAUUGAGAGCCCUGCAAACAUGGUUGGACAUGUGCAUUUCACUUCAUCCUAGUAAAGAAUUUGAGAAUGGCAUUUCAAAUGCUCCUUUGCUGGUAACAGACUAAUUCCAUAUGUUUUCUUUUAUACUUUUCAGCUUUGUUGGCAUAAAGCUUGGCUGUGAGUUUUUCCUCGCAAGAUGACUGGAAUCUUGGGAUUCAGGAACCUUUCACCGAAGACUAAGAAUUUGGUAGUUGCUGGUGGCUUGUCAGCAUUUGUCUUGGGGGUAUAUUUUUACACUAUGAGAGCUGUUGGUGGUACAGAUGAGCUUCAGGUUGCUAUAGAUAAGUUUGAAGGACAGAAAAGCAAGCAGGAUGCUUGAGGCAAGCAGGCUACUGAAGGCUUGAUCUUAUGAUCUUUGGUGUAAUAAUGUAAUCACAGACCGAGGAUAAUCUUUUUGAAAAGCUGUCUUUUGUUUGCUUGGCAAGAUUGCAUUUUACUUUGAUCUGUAUGGAAAAUUGAAAAUGAAAAGAAGCUAGCUAGUUCUCAAGUUUUGUCCACCAGCUUUACGAUUGUGAAUAAAUAAGCACUGAAUGGCCUCGGCAGAUAUCCACACAGACGGUUUGCCUGUUGGAUUAGUAAUUUAUCUCUGUUAUGACUUUAUGACUCUGCAGCCUAACUGUCGUGUGUAUCAGUAACUAUAAUUUGGCCUACAGAUAAUAGAAGUAUUUUCUCUUGAAAGUCGGCCGUUGUGCUUUAGGCGUAAAUAUCCUUAUUUUCCCUUGCCACUUGCAUCCAAAAGAAUUCUACUUUUUACGGCUCGUUUGGAUAUGAUUUGUGGUAGUUUCAUACUCCAAAUUUUAUUUUUUACAGCUUGUUUAGAUCAUUGUUUAUGUAUUUUUACGGCUCUUGGACGAUGGUUUGUGGUGGUUUUAU
rnacentral:misc_RNA from 1 species